UACGUAGGUGGCAAGCGUUGUCCGGAUUUAUUGGGUUUAAAGGGUGCGUAGGUGGUCCCAUAAGUCAGUGCUGAAAUAUCCCGGCUUAACCGGGAGGGUGGCAUUGAUACUGCGGGACUUGAGUAAAGUUGAGGUAGGCGGAAUUGACGGUGUAGCGGUGAAAUGCUUAGAUAUCGUCAAGAACACCUAUUGCGAAGGCGCUUACUAAGCUUUAACUGA
rnacentral:rRNA from 1 species